GAAGAGAUAGCUCAGUGGUUAAGAGCACUGGCUGCUCUUCCAGAGGUCUUGAGUUCAAUUCUCAUCAACCUCA
rfam:Cricetulus griseus cell line CHO-K1, whole genome shotgun sequence.